GACAGGUGGUGCAUGGUUGUCGUCAGCUCGUGUCGUGAGAUGUUGGGUUAAGUCCCGCAACGAGCGCAACCCUUAAGCUUAGUUGCCAUCAUUAAGUUGGGCACUCUAAGUUGACUGCCGGUGACAAACCGGAGGAAGGUGGGGAUGACGUCAAAUCAUCAUGCCCCUUAUGAUUUGGGCUACACACGUGCUACAAUGGACAAUACAAAGGGCAGCGAAACCGCGAGGUCAAGCAAAUCCCAUAAAGUUGUUCUCAGUUCGGAUUGUAGUCUGCAACUCGACUACAUGAAGCUGGAAUCGCUAGUAAUCGUAGAUCAGCAUGCUACGGUGAAUACGUUCCCGGGUCUUGUACACACCGCCCGUCACACCACGAGAGUUUGUAACACCCGAAGCCGGUGGA
rnacentral:rRNA from 1 species